UGGGGAAUAUUGCACAAUGGGGGAAACCCUGAUGCAGCGACGCCGCGUGAGCGAAGAAGGCCUUCGGGUCGUAAAGCUCUUUUAUGAGGGAAGAUAAUGACGGUACCUCAAGAAAAAGCCACGGCUAACUACGUGCCAGCAGCCGCGGUAAUACAUAGGUGGCAAGCGUUGUCCGGAAUUAUUGGGCGUAAAGCGCGCGCAGGUGGUUUAGAAAGUCUGAUGUGAAAGCCCACGGCUCAACCGUGGAGGGUCAUUGGAAACUAAUAAACUUGAGUGCAGGAGAGAAAAGUGGAAUUCCUAGUGUAGCGGUGAAAUGCGUAGAGAUUAGGAGGAACACCGGUGGCGAAAGCGGCUUUUUGGCCUGCAACUGACACUGAGGCGCGAAAGCGUGGGGAGCAAACAGG
rnacentral:rRNA from 1 species